rnacentral:rRNA from 1 species
UACGGGGGGGCUAGCGUUGUUCGGAAUUACUGGGCGUAAAGGGCGCGUAGGCGGCCUACUACGUCGGACGUGAAAUCCCUCGGCUCAACCGGGGAACUGCGUCCGAUACUGGUGGGCUCGAAUCCGGGAGAGGGAUGUGGAAUUCCAGGUGUAGCGGUGAAAUGCGUAGAUAUCAGGAAGAACACCCGUGGCGAAAGCGGCUCUCUGGAACGGUACUGACGCUGAGACGCGAAAGCGUGGGGAGCGAACAGG